UAAACAGCUGAAAUGUAAAACCCCAGAGCUGCUGAUAGGAAGCAGAUGCGGCUCCGGAGCCAGGCCGGGCACGUGCCAAGGCCCCGGGCCAGGCGUGAGCCUGCGCGGCCAGGGCAAGGGAGGGGGAGCGAGUGAGCCACGUGGGUGUGACCAGCGGGGUGGUGACUGAGCACCCGUGGGUGCAGGCACAAGUCUCCAAAGGAGGUGGCACAGUGGGUGUGUCAAGGUGGGAUCGGAAGAGGGAAGCCAGUUUUCCUGCUUUUUUACAGCUCUCCGUCUGCAUGUUCUUUGCCCGAGCCCAUCACUGAACUGAACGAGCCGAAUAGAUGGAACCGAAGAAAAUGUCGUCUCUGCAGGAGGCGAGCGCUGCAGAAAGCUGGUUCAAACCCUUCACUAGCUGCUGGUUCUGGGUGCUGAGCCGGGACUCCAGCCAGGGCAGUGGGGAGACGUUUGAGAAAAGGCAGGUACCUGCAGAUGGUGGUUGAGUCACCCCCCCAAACCAAUGGAGCGGCCCCCUCCAGAGCCCUUUUUCUGACCCUUCAGUUCCUCCACGACUCUUCUCGGAGCCUCUCCAACAGAUCCCCGGCCUCGUGGAGCUGCGGGUACCAGAACCAGAGCCGGGACCCAGCAGCCUCUGCGCCAGCACUGAACACCGAGCUCACAGAUGAAAAAGUCGAACAGCCCCUGGCCAAGAAACAACCCCAUCAGCAGGACCCCAGUAGCCUCUGCCUGCUUGCUCCAGGCUGGUUUCCUGUUCUCAGCUACGUUCUGAGAACAAGCAUUUAAUGUUGGACUGGGAGGCUUUACUUACCCAGGUCAUCCCAUUUACCCUUUUCAAACACUGGUACAAUGUUACUUUCCUCCACAGUUCUGGAACUUCCCCAGUAUCCAAGAGUUGUUGACAAUCACCAUUAAUGGCCCAGUGAGUUUCUCAGCCACCUCUUUGAAAACUCUUGGUUAUGUGGACCUGCUGAUUU